rnacentral:rRNA from 1 species
CACGUAGGGGGCGAGCGUUGUCCGGAUUUAUUGGGCGUAAAGGGCUCGUAGGCGGUUUGUCGCGUCGGGAGUGAAAACUCAGGGCUCAACCCUGAGCGUGCUUCCGAUACGGGCAGACUAGAGGUAUGCAGGGGAGAACGGAAUUCCUGGUGUAGCGGUGGAAUGCGCAGAUAUCAGGAGGAACACCGGUGGCGAAGGCGGUUCUCUGGGCAUUACCUGACGCUGAGGAGCGAAAGCAUGGGGAGCGAACAGG